AUUGAACGCUGGCGGCAUGCCUUACACAUGCAAGUCGAACGGCAGCACGGGUGCUUGCACCUGGUGGCGAGUGGCGAACGGNUGAGUAAUACAUCGGAACAUGUCCUGUAGUGGGGGAUAGCCCGGCGAAAGCCGGAUUAAUACCGCAUACGAUCUACGGAUGAAAGCGGGGGACCUUCGGGCCUCGCGCUAUAGGGUUGGCCGAUGGCUGAUUAGCUAGUUGGUGGGGUAAAGGCCUACCAAGGCGACGAUCAGUAGCUGGUCUGAGAGGACGACCAGCCACACUGGGACUGAGACACGGCCCAGACUCCUACGGGAGGCAGCAGUGGGGAAUUUUGGACAAUGGGCGAAAGCCUGAUCCAGCAAUGCCGCGUGUGUGAAGAAGGCCUUCGGGUUGUAAAGCACUUUUGUCCGGAAAGAAAUCCUUGGCCCUAAUACGGUCGGGGGAUGACGGUACCGGNAGAAUAAGCACCGGCUAACUACGUGC
rnacentral:rRNA from 1 species